UUAAUAAAAGAUAAAAAAGGGGCAAAUAGAGGAAAGUGUUUAAGAUGUAACGAAUUCAUUGGAAAAGCAAGGUGUGAUUAUUGUGACUGCGUUGCUUCUAAACAAGAACGUAAAAUGAGCGGGACCUAAAAAUUUAUGCAUAUACUAAUGUACAAGAAGAUGAAAAAUAUCCAAAUAUGUGUAUAGGUCUGUUUUUUGUUCAUUAAUAUAUGAUAAGGUAUAUAUUUUUGAUAAACAAAAUAUAUGAAAAGGGUGGGGUACUUGAUGUCUCAGCUGCUCACCCCUACCAAAAAAAGUUUGAAGUGGCCCCCCCGAGAA
rnacentral:lncRNA from 1 species